rnacentral:lncRNA from 1 species
AGCCCACCCUCUGCACCUAGCCUUGUGACCUUACUGUGUCUUCCACAUUUUGGAAAAUCUCCUGGGCCUCCUCGAAGUCACAGAUCUCCUCCAUACACUCCCGUUCCAGGCUGCCUGGCCGCAUCUCUUCCAGGAAGCUGUUGGCACGUCUGACCCGAAGCACCUGGUGGGCAUGCUCGCUGCUGGAGAACACUGGGUCUGGUUUGGGAUGGGAGUCAAUGUGGUGGAGGGACCCAAGAGGGGCCGAGAGGGAUCAGAAGAUCCCCUGCUAGAGAGAACCUGGGAAGACCUCAGCCUGAUCCCUUUGGUCUUAUUCUAAUUCCCAGGAGGGAUGCUGGGGCCUGCUUUUAUGCUCUGGUCCCAGGUCCCCCUGGGAGAACAGCAGUUUGGAUCUUGCAGAGUAUGAGCUCUGAAACAGACAGACAGACUUCCUUUCAGGACAUGCCUAGGAUACUCAACAUGGUGUCUUUGUGUAGAACGUAGUGGUUAGGGGCAAUGCCAGAGCCUGCUGCUGCCAUUCAAACUGCAAAGUCGUAUGUGCGUGAAAAUAGCCUUGCAUAAUGUUGUCUAAUAAUAAAUAAAUAGCAGUG